ACCUCAUGAUUUGGGCAUUGCAUUAUCUUAUCGUUGAGUCGUUGCCAAACUUCAUAUAAUGGUUUGCCAUUAAGUUGGCAAAAGUUGGUGAUUUCAUCCCUUAGUU
rfam:Capsicum annuum cultivar Zunla-1 chromosome 11, whole genome shotgun sequence